rnacentral:rRNA from 1 species
GGAGCGAACGCUGGCGGCAGGCCUAACACAUGCAAGUCGAACGGACCCUUCGGGGUUAGUGGCGGACGGGUGAGUAACACGUGGGAACGUGCCUUUUGGUUCGGAAUAGCUCCUGGAAACGGGUGGUAAUGCCGAAUGUGCCCCUCGGGGGAAAGAUUUAUCGCCAUUAGAGCGGCCCGCGUCUGAUUAGCUAGUUGGUGAGGUAAUGGCUCACCAAGGCGACGAUCAGUAGCUGGUCUGAGAGGAUGACCAGCCACAUUGGGACUGAGACACGGCCCAAACUCCUACGGGAGGCAGCAGUGGGGAAUCUUGCGCAAUGGGACGAAAGCCUGACGCAGCCAUGCCGCGUGAAUGAUGAAGGUCUAGGAUUGUAAAGCUCUUUACCGAGAUGAUAAUGACAGUAGUCGGAAGAAAGUAACGACCCCGACUAACCUCCCGCG